rnacentral:misc_RNA from 1 species
UUUCCGUAGGUGAACCUGCGGAAGGAUCAUUACCGAGUUAGGGUCUUCUCAGGGCCCGACCUCCUUACCUUUGUCUACCUUACCUCACGUUGCUUCGGCGGGCCCGUCCUCUUUUGGACCGCCGGAGGGUUGACCCCCUCUGGCCCGUUGCCCGCCGACAGCCCCCAACCAAAAAACUCUUGCAAUAACUGUGGAAUUGUCUGAAUCUUGCUUCUAAAAUAACCAAAAACUUUCAACAACGGAUCUCUUGGUUCUG